GCACUGAAAAAAGUCUAACAUGCAGUCAUUCAUUCAAUCUAAUAAGUGCCAUUCAAAACAGAAUAAAAUCAUUGAUUUGAUUGUGAAACCCUUUCUUUUUGCAUUUUAAAAUACCACUUUUGAUUUGGAUGAAACUAAAUAUCUGUACAAAGGACACAACGCAAAGUUUUUGAUUUCUCUCAAAACAUAUAUUUCUUUUCAUGUUGAACAGAUAAUAUCUUUAAUUUGAGUCAAAGUGAUUUGCACUUGAACACGCCCACCAGAAAUAGACCGGGACCCAUUUUUAUUCUGCAUGGCUGCUGGAAACAUCGUGUCACAUCUUUGAUUAAUUUCAUCUGAAAAUAAACAACCACAGAUCGCUCCAUCCAUUCCAUGGCUGAAGCAUACAUUUUCAUUUAAUCUGAACAGAUAUCCCAGAAAGAUGAAGCUGAGGAAGAGCUGCAGAGUACCACCAUGGCACUCUUCGUCUUCAGGGACAACUCAAGCCUCCUACAUCAGCCUCGAGACAUCGGGAUAAUCAUUGAUGGUGUGGAAGUCCUGAAUGAGUUGCCUUCUGUGGCAGCUGGAGUGGCAAUGGUCUUUGGACUCUGUUAUGCUCUUAAUAUGGAAUAUCCACGAGGAUUCAGGUUCACCUUUGAGGCUCUUCAAAAGAUUAUGAUGGAGCUUGACUUUAACAAGAUGACCUCUAAGAUUCGCAAACUUAAUUGUGAACUUAACACUGCACAGUAGUGUGUUUGCAUGCAUGUGUGCAUGUGUAUGUGCACAUGCAUGUGCAUGUGUGCUUGGUUAUUUUGCUUGGUUGGCCUGCAGUGGUAUUCUACAUUCAAAAUUUAUAAGAACACCCAUUUGAAAGGGAGAUUUAAGUUGAUUUCAUUGAUACAUGUGUAGAUUUUUUUUU